UACGUAGGGGGCAAGCGUUGUCCGGAUUUAUUGGGCGUAAAGAGCGUGUAGGCGGCUAGGUAGGUCCGUUGUGAAAACUCGGGGCUCAACCCCGAGCCUGCAGUCGAUACGGGCAAACUAGAGUGUGGUAGGGGAGACUGGAAUUCCUGGUGUAGCGGUGAAAUGCGCAGAUAUCAGGAGGAACACCGGCGGCGAAGGCGGGUCUCUGGGCCAUAACUGACGCUGAGGAGCGAAAGCGUGGGGAGCGAACAGG
rnacentral:rRNA from 1 species